GACGAACGCUGGCGGCGUGCUUAACACAUGCAAGUCGAACGGAAAGGCCCUGCUUUUGUGGGGUGCUCGAGUGGCGAACGGGUGAGUAACACGUGAGUAACCUGCCCUUGACUUUGGGAUAACUUCAGGAAACUGGGGCUAAUACCGGAUAGGAGCUCCUGCUGCAUGGUGGGGGUUGGAAAGUUUCGGCGGUUGGGGAUGGACUCGCGGCUUAUCAGCUUGUUGGUUGGGUAGUGGCUUACCAAGGCUUUGACGGGUAGCCGGCCUGAGAGGGUGACCGGCCACAUUGGGACUGAGAUACGGCCCAGACUCGUACGGGAGGCAGCAGUGGGGAAUAGUGCACAAUGGGCGGAAGCCUGAUGCAGCAACGCCGCGUGCGGGAUAACGGCCUUCGGGUUGUAAACCGCUUUCGCCUGUGACGAAGCGUGAGUGACGGUAAUGGGUAAAGAAGCACCGGCUAACUACGUG
rnacentral:rRNA from 1 species